GGAACAGGCCGGCAGAGACUGCGCAUGCGGAGAAGGCCGCCCGCCUCCGCGAGCCCGCGCAGUCUCAGACCCCGAGCCGAGGAGCGGGGCAGGGCAGCCAGGAGGGAGUAGGAGAGCCUGGAUGGAGGCCGGGUCGAAGGUCAGGGCCUUUUCGUGGCCGCCGUGGGAUCCCUACCUGAACACUGCAAGUGACUUUUACCCUGGGAUUCAGAAAUAUCUACAGGACUGAGACCGGACCCGCUAAAGGUGUGAACUCUCCUCUCAUCUGUUGGCCUCAUAGAAUCCAAGUCCUGGACGAGCCAGUUUCCUAUUCCCCAUUCAGCCAUUGAAGUCAUAGCUAUCUGCUGAAGAAUAGCAGUCAGCCAGCCUGGAAACAUUCUUCCAAUAGUAGAAAUGGAAUAUAAAGUCGACAAAGCCUUCAGCAGUUCUUGAAGAAGAUUAAAUGGGAGGACAUUGCUUCUAAGAAGAAUUGCCUCUGCAAUUUUUGGUCACCGAUCGAAAAGAAGCCUCAGACCCCAGUCCAAAAGUACAGGUCAAGCAUUCACCAGUUCAUCAGACGUGGAUGGCAUUAAGUGGUUCUGGAAGGUGUCAGAGGUUCUGAGAAGCCACCAGGAGCUGCCAUUGCUGAGGAAAGGAGGACAGCUGGACGGGUCUCUACUCUCUCUUCACUCUUCAUCCAGAGGAGUUUGUUUUUAUCUGUUUCACUUGUUUAUGCGUACACAUCAGAUAUUUUUGAACAAAGGAUUUCACCUGUUAAUAUCUUAAUUUCUGUCUGGGAAAAUAAAAGUACAUCUUAUUUUACUGUUUCUUUUCCUCACAGAUCUCUGCAAGCUUUGGAGGAAGGGUUAUAUAUAGAAUUCACGCUCUGGAAAUGUAAAGGCUCUGAGAGCUCUUGCUGGUAGAACUAAGGCAGCUAUUAACCUCUCUGUGCUUCGCUUUCAUUCCUGCAGCAUAGUAUCACGUUUUUUAUAUUGCCACCUCUGUAAAGAUGAUGAAUUUGAAACAGCUUGGAAAGCAC